rnacentral:rRNA from 1 species
GACGAACGCUGGCGGCGUGCUUAACACAUGCAAGUCGAACGCUGAAGCUCAGCUUUUGUUGGGUGGAUGAGUGGCGAACGGGUGAGUAACACGUGAGUAACCUGCCCCCUUCUUUGGGAUAACGCCCGGAAACGGGUGCUAAUACUGGAUAUUCACUGGUCUUCGCAUGGGGGUUGGUGGAAAGGGUUUUUCUGGUGGGGGAUGGGCUCGCGGCCUAUCAGCUUGUUGGUGGGGUGAUGGCCUACCAAGGCUUUGACGGGUAGCCGGCCUGAGAGGGUGACCGGUCACAUUGGGACUGAGAUACGGCCCAGACUCCUACGGGAGGCAGCAGUGGGGAAUAUUGCACAAUGGGCGCAAGCCUGAUGCAGCGACGCCGCGUGAGGGAUGGAGGCCUUCGGGUUGUGAACCUCUUUCGCUCAUGGUCAAGCCGCAACAAUGGUUGUGGUAAGGGUAGUGGGUAAAGAAGCGCCGGCUAACUACGUG